AGGAACAAGCUGUUGAAUGGUAUAAGAAAGGAAUUGAAGAACUGGAAAAAGGAAUAGCUGUCUUAGUAAUUGGUAAAGGUGAUCAGUGUGAACGGGCUCGACGUCUGCAAUCUAAAAUGAUGACAAAUUUGGCAAUGGCCAAGGAUCGCUUGCAGCUUUUAGAGAAGCUGCAGGCAGUUUUGCAAAUAUCCAAGCCGCAAAUGGAAGUCUAUAAUGACAGUACUAACCUGGCAUGCCGCAAUGGACAUCUCC
rnacentral:lncRNA from 1 species